CAUCAUUAUCAGCAGCAGCAGCAGCAAUAAUGAUUCUUAACUCUGAGAAGCUACCCAGUUCCUGAAACAUGGAAAGUAUGCUAUUUCAAGAAUCCUCAAACAAGUCUUUAAAGUAAGGACAUUUAAUAUUCCCAUCCCACAGAUAAAGAAACUGAGGCCUAGAGUUAAAUUAUCUCUCCAAGGUCUAAAUACAUCAUGCAAAGGUGGAGCAGUUAGUCUGACUCUAAAGCCUCUGAUCUUCAUUGUUACAAUUUCUGGUAAUGUAGUGGAAUAAAAGUAAACUAAAAAGUGUCAGGUGUGCACAUAUUAUUUUAUUAAGAUGAGAUGAUGCUGGACGCAGUGGUGCUCACCUGUAAUCCCAGCAGCUUAGGAGGCUGAGACAAGAGAAUCCUGAGUUCAAAGCCAGCCUUGGAAAUGGCAAGGUGCUAAGCAACUCAGUAAGACCCUGUAAAACAGGGCUGGGGAUGUGGCUCAGUUCAGUAGUACAGUGACCCUGAGUUCAGUCUUCUGUAAUCC
rnacentral:lncRNA from 1 species